rnacentral:rRNA from 1 species
GUGCCAGCCGCCGCGGUAAUACGGAGGGGGCCAGCGUUGUUCGGAAUCAUUGGGCGUAAAGGGCGCGUAGGCGGCCUGGCAAGUCCGUUGUGAAAGCCCCCGGCUUAACCGGGGAACUGCGGCGGAUACUGCUGGGCUCGAGUCCCGGAGAGGGUAGCGGAAUUCCCAGUGUAGCGGUGAAAUGCGUAGAUAUUGGGAGGAACAUCGGUGGCGAAGGCGGCUACCUGGACGGGUACUGACGCUGCAGCGCGAAAGCUAGGGGAGCAAACAGGAUUAGAAACCCUCGUAGUCC